rnacentral:lncRNA from 1 species
AUGACAAAAGAUAAUACAAAAAAUAAAACAGAAGAAAAGGAAAUUAUGAGCGAAGUCACUAUCAAUGAUAAUCCAGAAAUGGAUGGAGUUGUAGAAAGAGUUAAAGAAAAGCUAGCUGAUAAGGAGAAUGCAAUUUUAAACAAUAUCGACCACAACAGUAAUAAUGACGAAAGUAAUGAAAAAAAUAGUAACAAUUUGAAAAUAAAAGAACAACAAGAAAAAAAAUUUCAUGUUGACACUAUUAUAAACCAGUCAAGUGAUACAAUCCGUGAUGAACACAAUAACACACUUGAUAAUGAAGAAAGUGAUAUCGUUGACAGUAAAUACAUUGAUAUGACCCAAAAACAACAUUUAAAAAGUAUGGAAGAAAAUAAAAGCAAUAAAAAAAAAAGAAAACAAAUAUUUAUAAAUAACAACCAUGAAUACGUAGAAAAUGAAAAUGUAGAAUAUAGAAAAUUCAAGAGAAACAAUGCAUGUAGCAAUGAAUUUAGAGAAGAUGAAUAUAAUGACAAAAAAAAAAAAAAAAAAAAAAAAAAAAGUUCUAAGGAUAUGCAAAAUUCAACUUCCUUACAUGAUAGUAGUAAUAAUAGUGAUAAUGAUAGUGAUAGUGAUAGUAGUAUUCAAAACAUUUCUGGCAGAAUAACAGACCCAUUAUCGUUUAUUGAAAAUGACACUGACGAAAUAAAUAAUAUGAACGUAAGUGAUGAUAUGGAAUAUCCAUGCAUAUAUACAAAUAAUACAAAAGAAUGGUUUAAAACUAUUGAAAAUGAAGACUGGUACAUUAACAAAUUAUGUAAUUGGUUAUAUAAUAUUAAGGACGAUAUUUAUUUUCAUAUUUAUAGUCAAAAUAUUUUUUAUGAAAAAAAUGGUACUUUUAUAUCGUUUGAUAAUUGUUUAAUAGAAGAAGAUGAUACAAAUGUUAAUAAUAUAACAAAAGAAAAAGAUUUCAUUUGUUCUGAAAGUAAUUAUGAUAAUAAUGAUAAAGUAGAAGUAAUGAGUUAUGAGUCAGAUGGACUAGUCACGUCAAAAAAAAAAAACAAAUGCCCAUAA